rnacentral:rRNA from 1 species
UGGAUCCAGACUUUGAUCAUGGCUCAGGACGAACGCUGGCGGCGUGCCUAAUACAUGCAAGUCGAGCGAGCUUGCCUAGAUGAUUUUAGUGCUGCACUAAAUGAAACUAGAUACAAGCGAGCGGCGGACGGGUGAGUAACACGUGGGUAACCUGCCCCAAGAGACUGGGAUAACACCUGGAAACAGAUGCUAAUACCGGAUAACAACACUAGACGCAUGUCUAGAGUUUGAAAGAUGGUUCUGCUAUCACUCUUGGAUGGACCUGCGGUGCAUUAGCUAGUUGGUAAGGUAACGGCUUACCAAGGCAAUGAUGCAUAGCCGAGUUGAGAGACUGAUCGGCCACAUUGGGACUGAGACACGGCCCAAACUCCUACGGGAGGCAGCAGUAGGGAAUCUUCCACAAUGGACGAAAGUCUGAUGGAGCAACGCCGCGUGAGUGAAGAAGGGUUUCGGCUCGUAAAGCUCUGUUGGUAGUGAAGAAGGAUAGAGGUAGUAACUGGCCUUUAUUUGACGGUAAUUACUUAGAAAGUCACGGCUAACUACGUGCCAGCAGCCGCGGUAAUACGUAGGUGGCAAGCGUUGUCCGGAUUUAUUGGGCGUAAAGCGAGUGCAGGCGGUUCAAUAAGUCUGAUGUGAAAGCCUUCGGCUCAACCGGAGAAUUGCAUCAGAAACUGUUGAACUUGAGUGCAGAAGAGGAGAGUGGAACUCCAUGUGUAGCGGUGGAAUGCGUAGAUAUAUGGAAGAACACCAGUGGCGAAGGCGGCUCUCUGGUCUGCAACUGACGCUGAGGCUCGAAAGCAUGGGUAGCGAACAGGAUUAGAUACCCUGGUAGUCCAUGCCGUAAACGAUGAGUGCUAAGUGUUGGGAGGUUUCCGCCUCUCAGUGCUGCAGUUAACGCAUUAAGCACUCCGCCUGGGGAGUACGACCGCAAGGUUGCAACUCAAAUGAAUUGACGGA